CAAUGCAGCUUUGGAGCACAAAGUACACGGGCCAAAAGGUAGCACAUCACAGACAAGGAAACAACAACCUUCAGUCAACUAUGUAUGUUGGCGAUGCGAUAAUACAACGAUUUAGUCUGGGUUGAUGCCGAUGGAUGCAAUUGGUGGCCUCUCAUUUCGGUUUUUCAAUUUCUAUAAAAUACUCUGCUUUUCUCUGAAUUUCACUCCAGUCUGCUGCCAACCAGCUAUCACAUAACUUGUGUCAGCAAGCCAACACUUAAUUCAAGUAGCAAGAAUGCAAAAUUUGACAAGUUUUGCAACAACUCAUGCCCCAGCAGAAAAUUGGUGUGAUCAACGUGAAAGUUUUGAAAUGCGACCACUGAGAUGGACGUGCCUAUUAUUCGCAACCCUGCAAAUGUGAUACAAGACCCAGACACAAAAAAAGUAACUUAUUCUUGUGAGUGGAACAUUGAGAUAACUGCCUUCUGUUAAUAAUUACUUCUUGAAAAAAUCUUUCACUACCCAAAUCUACGUCCUCUACGUAUGUACAACAACUUAGAAAAAAUAUUCCAUUGUUAACCAUUUAGUUAAUGUUGGUUGGAAGGUAGGAGAACCAACCUGUAAUUCCCUGUCGUAAAAAUGUUUAACGUCCAUUAAAACUCUUUGAUUUCUAGCAUGCAAAAUACACAAAAUUUCAUGUUGGCCCUUUCUUCCAUAAAUUCAAUUAAGCACGAACAUGCGCUGCAAACAUUAAAUUGUAUUGUUUCGUGUUAUUAUUAGUAUUAUGUCUCUUUUUUGAAAAUUUAUUAUUUUUCAGCAUCUUUUUAUUCUGUGCCAUUAAAGUCAAAAUUAAAUUCUUGGUUACGUUGUAA